GUUCAGAGUUAGAGGCUGGCCCUCCUCCUUGCCUUUCUCUCUCAGGAGGCUGCAUGCCCCAGAUGGGAUUUGAACCCUGGCCUCCAGAGUCAUAGUCCAGACGCACUCAAAGGACUACAACACAUUGGCUCUUUUAUAGCAAACAUGAUGCUGUCUCAGUGCUGGAAGUCAAGCUUUGUAUGCUCUCCAUGUCAAAGAAGAAACAGAAGAUUGGUGAGUGACAGCUUGGAAGAAUCUAAUGAGAAAGUGAAAAUUAGUGGCAACGUCACAUAUCUGUAUUUGAGUUCUUAGGAUGGGCAGUAGAGAAGUUUAUGUUAAACAUAAGCCAUAAACUAAAAGAAGAAAUGGGCUAUGAAACAAAGUGGUGCCGAAGAGUGUGUCCAAAGAAAAGGGAAAUUGAAAAGGCUAAAAGUUGUAACCAUGAGUUUACCUUUAACUGUAAAGAGUUGUAUACAAUUUUAGCAUUACCCAAGUCAGAGCUACCUGUGAAAAUGGAGACAGGAUAGUCAGAGGCACACAAGCACUUGGGUGCUGAAUACUGCUGGGUCAAGAACUUCAAGUGCUGGAGGAAGAGGAAACUGUUUUCCCAAGUGCCUGCCUCUCCCAGCUCUACAUACAACAAUGGCUUAGAACCUGAAUGUCGCCAGGUGAUUUUUGAAGGGAUACAGCCUAUAAGAGCCCAUGAACCAACCCUUAAUCUCCACCUUUCAUUAUGACUGAGCAGUGGCUAAGCAACCAGUGUGCAACAUUUAUUCCUGAUUAUGCCAGAUGUCAUUGCAUUAUUGAUCCCCUGCCUGCAUUAUGCAGCUGUUGCCUUUUCUGUGGUAUUUAUAUUGUUCACUACAUCAGACAGGGCAUCAUGUGUAAACCUUGAAUUCAAUUGGUCUGGAAUCAAAUAAAAUGUG